UACGUAGGGGGCUAGCGUUGUCCGGAAUCAUUGGGCGUAAAGAGCGUGUAGGCGGCUCGGUAAGUCCGCUGUGAAAGUCCAGGGCUCAACCCUGGAAUGCCAGUGGAAACUGUCGAGCUAGAGUCCGGAAGAGGCGAGUGGAAUUCCUGGUGUAGCGGUGAAAUGCGCAGAUAUCAGGAGGAACUCCAAUGGCGAAGGCAGCUCGCUGGGACGGUACUGACGCUGAGACGCGAAAGCGUGGGGAGCAAACAGG
rnacentral:rRNA from 1 species